ensembl:lncRNA
GCUCUUCCUGUUUUACUCUACUGAGACCGACUCGAGACGCUGUUGUCAGUUUCAACAAAAUGGCUGCUGGAGCGCCACAAACGAAAACCCAGUGAACGCUUCACGUCAGCGCAGUAUCCUUUUCAAUGGAUGCAUUGGAAUUUCCCUACCUUUUGAGCAUCGGGACAUUUAACUCGCGUGGGCUCGUUUACAUGCGUGUUUGCGAACUAAAGGCAUGCUGAGAUAUUCCCUUCACGCACUUUAUUUACAUCCAAAAGCAUACAAAAGCUCAAGCUGCCAGUGCGCGCGCGCGCGCGUCUCUGCUCCUGAGGAUCGCCGAAAUGUUACAGAUGAUCAACCCUAAUCUUGCUUGCUGACGUGCAAAACUGUCGUUUAAUGUCCUUUUCACUGUUUGCACUGGUAUUUCAGAGUUCCCCCCACCCACCCCCCUCUCUGGACAGAUUCCACUGCAUAAUGAGAUGUGAAUUUCUCAACUGGAAAGUCGGGCUCGCCAUUGCAGCUCACUGCAAGAGUGAGUGAGUGAGUAGGAUCUGCUCUUGAGUGUCAGUACGGGUAUCGACAACAUCCUCCUUCACCACGCAGCUCAUGCAUCACAUUUAAACAGCAGACCGCAGGUGCUCCGUGUGCGAAAUUAAG